rnacentral:rRNA from 1 species
GUGUAUGGCCAUACCACCCUGAACACGCCCGAUCUCAUCUGAUCUCAGAAGCUAAGCAGGGUCGGGCCUGGUUAGUACUUGGAUGGGAGAAAGAACCAGAUAUCACCCUGGCACAUGUACU